CCAGACUCCUACGGGAGGCAGCAGUGGGGAAUAUUGCACAAUGGGGGAAACCCUGAUGCAGCGACGCCGCGUGAGCGAAGAAGUAUUUCGGUAUGUAAAGCUCUAUCAGCAGGGAAGAAAAUGACGGUACCUGAGUAAGAAGCUCCAGCUAAAUACGUGCCAGCAGCCGCGGUAAUACGUAGGGGGCAAGCGUUAUCCGGAUUUACUGGGUGUAAGGGGAGCGUAGACGGCGAUACAAGUCUGAAGUGAAAGCCCGGGGCUCAACCCCGGGACUGCUCUGGAAACUGUGUAACUUGAGUGCAGGAGAGGUAAGCGGAAUUCCUAGUGUAGCGGUGAAAUGCGUAGAUAUUAGGAGGAACACCAGUGGCGAAGGCGGCUUACUGGACUGUAACUGACGUUGAGGCUCGAAAGCGUGGGGAGCAAACAGGAUUAGAUACCCCGGUA
rnacentral:rRNA from 1 species